rnacentral:rRNA from 1 species
GACGAACGCUGGCGGCGUGCUUAACACAUGCAAGUCGAACGGAAAGGCCCUGCUUUUGUGGGGUGCUCGAGUGGCGAACGGGUGAGUAACACGUGAGUAACCUGCCCUUGACUUUGGGAUAACUUCAGGAAACUGGGGCUAAUACCUGAUAGGAGCUCCUGCUGCAUGGGGGGGGUUGGAAAGUUUCGGCGGUUGGGGAUGGAAUCGCGGCUUAUCAGCUUGUGGGUGGGGUAGUGGCUUACCAAGGCUUUGACGGGUAGACGGCCUGGGAGGGUGACCGGACACAUUGGGACUGAGAUACGGCACAGACUCCUACGGGAGGCAGCAGUGGGGAAUAUUGCACAAUGGGAGGAAGCCUGAUGCAGCAAAGCCGCGUGCGGGAUGACGGCCUUCGGGUUGUAAACCGAUUUCGCCUGUGACGAAGCGUGAGUGACGGUAAUGGGUAAAGAAGCACCGGCUAACUACGUG